rnacentral:lncRNA from 1 species
AGCAAGUAUUUCACUCAAUCACUCUAGUGUUUAAGGUGACACUCCAACUCUUUAUUGUUCACAAGUCACAUGAAACAAAAUUGCCAUUCAUCUCAAACAAUCAACAUCUUUACAUGCAAAUGUCAUCAAAAGGACUUUUCAAGGCUUGUAAUGAGGUUGGGCUAACAAGAAAGAUUUCUUUUUCUAGAAUGCAAAAUCCUUGAGUCAAGAGAACUCUAUCAAAAUAUUCAACAAUUAAGCACAACUCUCUCACCAAAAUUUCUCAUUCCCAACUUCUUCCCUUUUCUUUUCUUUUUCAUUGAGCUCAUCUUCAUGCUUUUCUUCUUUCUUUUCUUUUUCUCAUGAUUUUUUCUCUUUUCACAACAAUUGAGCUCAAUGCCUUUUACUUGCUUUUUCAAUUUUCCCCCGUACAACCCCAAACUUGAACCUUUUCAUCACAUACAAUUAAGCUCAUCCCAACUCAAGG